CCUACGGGUGGCAGCAGUGAGGAAUAUUGCUCAAUGGGCGUAAGCCUGAACCAGCCAAGUCGCGUGAGUGAUGAAGGUUCUCUGGAUCGUAAACCUCUUUUAUAAGGGAAUAAAGUGUGGGACGUGUCCUAUUUUGUCUGUACCUUAUGAAUCAGGAUCGGCUAACUCCGUGCCAGCAGCCGCGGUAAUACGGAGGAUCCGAGCGUUAUCCGGAUUUAUUGGGUUUAAAGGGUGCGUAGGCGGCCUUUUAAGUCAGGAGUGCAAGUCUGUGGCUCAACCAUAGAAUUGCCGUUGAAACUGGGGGGCUGGAGUAUGUGUGAGGUAGGCGGAAUGCGUGGUGUAGCGGUGAAAUGCUUAGAUAGUAGGAAGAACCCCGAUUGCGAAGGCAGCCUGCCAAGCCAUGACUGACGCUGAGGCACGAAAGCGUGGGGAUCAAACAGGAUUAGAUACCCGAGUAGUC
rnacentral:rRNA from 1 species